CUGCCCUCCAGCCCGGCUGGGUGUUGGGCGCUGUCCCCCCGGGGACACGCCCCAAAGGCAGUGGCGGCGCCGCGUCGGGUCCUCGAGCGUAUGGGGCUUUGUCACCUGCUCGGGAAGGACUCGUCGGCGCUGGUCUUCCUCCAGGCGACCCUUCGGGGCUCGUCUUCCUUC
rnacentral:misc_RNA from 1 species